CCUACGGGUGGCAGCAGUAGGGAAUAUUGCGCAAUGGGGGAAACCCUGACGCAGCAACGCCGCGUGGAGGAAGAAGGUUUUCGGAUUGUAAACUCCUUUUGUGAGGGAAGAAAUUGACGGUACCUAAGGAGUAAGCACCGGCUAACUACGUGCCAGCAGCCGCGGUAAUACGUAGGGAGCAAGCGUUAUUCGGAUUCAUUGGGCGUAAAGAGUGCGUAGGCGGGAUAUCAAGUCAGAUGUGAAAUCCCAUGGCUUAACCAUAGAACUGCAAUUGAAACUGUUUUUCUUGAGUAUUGGAGAGGUAGGUGGAAUUCUUGGUGUAGCGGUGAAAUGCGUAGAGAUGAGGAGGAAUACUCGUGGCGAAGGCGACCUUCUAGACCAUAACUGACGCUGAUGCGCGAAAGCGUGGGGAGCAAACAGGAUUAGAUACCCCUGUAGUC
rnacentral:rRNA from 1 species